rnacentral:rRNA from 1 species
GGUGAAGUCGUAACAAGGUAGCCGUAUCGGAAGGUGCUGCUGGAUCACCUCCUUUCUAAGGAGA